UGUACGACUGUCUUGGAUUAUGCCGGUGUCGCAAUCGCAACUUGUUCUUCGUGUGUCUUUUGUAUUUUUAGCUGCAGCUGGUGGUUUCGUGUUGUGGGACGCCGUAACGGAAAAGAGGCGAAUGAGAGACGGGGUACUCAGAGAUAUAGAAAAAAUGCAACAAAGGAAACAGAAAUCUGAAGAUCAACCAAAAGAAAACUAACACAAAUUGGGGAGAAGAAACAGUCAUAAAGGAAACUCACAAAACAGAGCAUAAACAGGUAUCCUGGUAAUCUGAAUGACCUGAACAAUAGAGAACUUCAUGUUGAAGAAAAAUGAGACUGAAACCAUAAUUUUCAAGGAAAUGUAUAAAACCUGCCUCUAAGACCACUACAUAAUAGAAGAAGAGUUGUGAUGGAAGAGACAGCUUUCUAAGAACAUUGUAAUUGAUUGAGGUUACAUGAAAUCUGACCAUGACUUUAACUGUCUUUUGUUUAACGGGUUUUAUUUAAUGAGUGCUUAUUAAACUAAUUGUUUAUAUUUGUUUA